rnacentral:rRNA from 1 species
GCCAGCAGUCAUAUCACUCUGUAUCUCACAACCGGCAACCCACUGACGCUAAGCAGGUGUGAGCCUGGUCAGUACCUGGAAGGGAGACCUCCUGGGAAAAACUAAGGUUGCUGCUGGAA